UAGAGUUUGAUCAUGGCUCAGAUUGAACGCUGGCGGCAUGCCUAACACAUGCAAGUCGAACGGCAGCGCGGGCUUCGGCCUGGCGGCGAGUGGCGGACGGGUGAGGAAUACAUAUGAAUCUGCCCAGUCGUGGGGGAUGACCCGGGGAAACCCGGACU
rnacentral:rRNA from 1 species